GACGAACGCUGGCGGCGUGCUUAACACAUGCAAGUCGAACGGAAAGGCCCUGCUUUUGUGGGGUGCUCGAGUGGCGAACGGGUGAGUAACACGUGAGUAACCUGCCCUUGACUUUGGGAUAACUUCAGGAAACUGGGGCUAAUACCGGAUAGGAGCUCCUGCUGCAUGGUGGGGGUUGGAAAGUUUCGGCGGUUGGGGAUGGACUCGCGGCUUAUCAGCUUGUUGGUGGGGUAGUGGCUUACCAAGGCUUUGACGGGUAGCCGGCCUGGGAGGGUGACCGGGCACAUUGGGACUGAGAGACGGCCCAGUCUGCUACGGGAGGCAGCGGUGGGGAGUAUUGCACAGUGGGCGGAAGCCUGAUGCAGCGACGCCGGGUGCGGGAUGACGGCCUUCGGGUUGUAAACCGCUUUCGCCUGUGACGAAGCGUGAGUGACGGUAAUGGAUAAAGAAGCACCGGCUAACUACGUG
rnacentral:rRNA from 1 species